rnacentral:rRNA from 1 species
UACGGGGGGGGUAAGCGUUGUUCGGAAUUACUGGGCGUAAAGGGCUCGUAGGCGGCCAACUAAGUCGGACGUGAAAUCCCUCAGCUUAACUGGGGAACUGCGUCCGAUACUGGAUGGCUUGGAUUUGGGAGAGGGAUGCGGAAUUCCAGGUGUAGCGGUGAAAUGCGUAGAUAUCUGGAGGAACACCGGUGGCGAAGGCGGGUCUCUGGGCCGUAACUGACGCUGAGGAGCGAAAGCAUGGGGAGCGAACAGG